AGAAGGAGGAAGAAAACCUCGGAGCAGCCCCAGAGCCGGCAGCGCAGAGCCGCGGUCAUGGGCAGCCACCCCGGCGUGCUGCUGGCGCUCGCCCUCUGCGCCCUGCUGGAAGCCGGUCUGGGCCAGCCCCCGGCCGAGUCGCACCUGGCCGCGCCGCCGAGGAGCAAGCGAUGUUCCUGCAACAGCUGGCUGGAUAAGGAAUGCAUCUACUUCUGUCACCUGGACAUCAUCUGGGUCAACACACCUGGGCACACCGCUCCCUACGGCUUGGGCAGCCCGCCAAGGCGGCGCAAGAGGUCGGCGGGCAGGUGCGAGUGCUCGCACUCCAGGGACAGCAUCUGUGCCACCUUCUGCCAGGGCAGGCCUGGGUACCUCCAGAGUCUGAAGCUCCCCGUGAGCUCUGGAGCAUCAGCGAGGUCUCUGCAGAACGGUGCCACGAGGCCUCCCCACCAUGGGCUGCUGAGAGCUCUCAGGGAGCUCGGGGUGUCCAGCCCGCGCCAGCAGCGCUCCCGGAGGGACGCGCAGCCACCAGCUCUGCCCUGGGAGAGAAACAUCUGGAAGAAGAAGAGAUAAGAGACAGGUGCACACCAAGUUCACCAGAAGAGUUUGGAGUCCUGUGGGUGCCACCAGCUCCGCUGUCGGUUUUAGAGCUGAAGGGAAGGCUGAGAGUGGAAGGGGAGGAAGUGGAAGUCUCCGUGUUCCUGCUGCAUGAACCAGCACUCGAGGGACUGCUGGAAAGGGAAAAACUCUCUCUCCACACAGUCAGAGGAGCGUCCUGGAGCUGAACUGUGCCUUUCUGGAUCAGGCAAGGGUCGUGCUGGGGCGGCAGCAGCCGGACUCUGCCCCGCAGCCCCCCGGCAGGGCUCAGCCCAGGCGCGGGGGGGAACCACAGCCGGGGCUCUGGGCAGCGCCGAGCCCCUCGCUGGCUGAGCCCAGCCUGGCCCCACUCGGAGGGUUUGGCUGCUCACUGCUCAGGGAUGAGCUGCCUCCAGCCCAGACCCACCUUUGCACUAUUUUCUCUCGUCAGUCAGUGCCUAUGAGCGAGGCUCCUGCGGUGGAACAGCUCCCAGUUUGUAUGAAAAGUUUAUUUCAUCUCAGCAGGAGCCAGCUGAGCAGGCAGGGGCUGUCACUGGCUGAGCAGUCACUGGGAUGGAUUCCCACUGAGGCCCUGGCUGUAGCAGAGGUGCAGGAUCAGUUACCCCAGGGAUGGCACCAAACCCAGCUGGUGUGGGGCUGGGUUUGUGCAGGAGCCCCCAUAGCCAGGGGAGGGUGAGCAGAGCCCUGCUCCGGACCAGUGACCCCAUCUCCUCUCCCUGGACCAAUCCUUAGUGAGGACUUCCAGCUCCUGAAUAAUCCAUCUUCCUCCCAGCUCUGCCUGGAGGGAGGGGCUGGGGCAGAGAGGGCACACAAAGCCUGGCUUAGGUCAGCUCUGAGUCGGGCUCUGGACAGUAAGUGACCACUCAGGUCCCUGUGGGAAGGGAAGCCCGGGUGGGGAAUGCAUGAGGUGAGGGGCAGCCAGGUGUGGUGUGGAGGGAAGGACUGGUCAGAACACGGGGUGGAACUGGAUCAUCUUUGAGGUCCCUUCCAACCCAACCCCCUGUGAUUCUGUACAGCCCUGUCUGAGCUUUAAACCUGUCUGGCUCAGAUUUAAACCCAGAUCUGCUGGCCCAGGGGAGAGAGGGAAAAAUCUGGGGAAAAACACUGAGCCCAGGGUGGGCCUAGAACCCAAGCCUGAGGCAAAGGGCUCCAGAGCUGUCACAAAUGCACUUUUGUUUGCUGGGCAGGCUGAGCUGAGCCCAGGGCUGUCCCUGGGCAGGGCAGGGGCUGCUCUCCACUCCUGGGUCCCUCUGCUGCCCACGCCAGGAUUGCACAGGAGCUUUGGAAAGGCUGCUUGAAGUUGGUGGUGGACCAAAACCUGUGGCUGUUGCAAGUAUAGUCCCGAUGGACAAGAAAAAUAAUUCCUUGAUUUUGCUUUAAGCCCUGGAAAGGGGAAGAACAAGACCAAUUGAUUGUAUUGUGAAUGAAACAGCAGAUGAAUCAUUUGGUCCCCGAAGCUGCAGAGAAUCUUUUUAUCUUUGACCUUCUGAAGGUUGGAGUCACUCUAAAAAACCAAAAGAAGAAAAUCCUGAAAGGGUUUGUUCCAGAGGAAAUUUUGCACAUGGUUUAAUGUGAGUAAUUUAAAAUAAAACUACUGCUGUAAAGUACUCUGUCAAUCUCAUGUGUGUGUAAUGUCCCAUCCUUAAGUGACUCAUUGCACACCUGCCAUAUGUAGCAUCCUGAA